rnacentral:lncRNA from 13 species
AUGCCGGGGGGGGGGGGUCCUGCCCGGCGAGAUGCCCGGGCCCAGGUGGUAGAGCGGGUCCCCAGGGCCUGGUGGGCUCCUUCCCUCCUCCUCCUAGCCCGCAGAAGGAGCCCAGAGUGUUGGUGCAACCUUGGCUGGCUCCUCGCUGGGGCAGCUCCUCUGCUGGGCCCAUUCCCAGGAUCUCCAGCGUUUUCCAGCACGAGCCACCGGUGGAGAUGGGCACCUCCAGCACUGGCACAGCACCCUCAGGUGAUGCUGGGGGCCGUGGUGGCUCUCCCUGUGCGUGGUGGUUCUGGUUCCUGCCAUCCACCUCGGCCCAUCCGAGCCACACACGGGGACACCGUGGGGACCGGCGGCUCCCAGAUCAUCCCACAGCCCCUGAGGGCUGCAGGAGCUCCAGAGCACAGAGGGAAGGACAAUCCCAGCUCAUCCCAAUCCAGCAGCCGAUCCAGCCUCGCGUGGUCACCAAACUCUCAACCACUGGGAAUCCACGCGGAGACACCGGGCCCCACCUGGCGCAGCACCCGUGGGCUCCAAGGCCAAGUCCCCAGUGCCAUGAGAUGCCAUCCCUGGCUGGGCCAGCUGUGCCCUGAGUCACCAUCAGCCUCAGAUUCUCCCCAAAUUAAAGCCUUUCCAGGCCAGGGAGCUCAACAAACCCCCUGGAAUGGGCAGAGCUGCCCUGGAAUGGCAGGAGCAGCAGCUUCUCCAGGCCCAGCUGCAGAUCCAAAUCAAAAAGCAGGAAAUCUGACAACGAUGCCAACGCCUUCAUACCCUGGGAACACCAGGAAACACCACGGUGCCAACGCCAGCCGCCAGCACCGCCAGCAAGGCCUUGGGAAAGGGGACGCUUGUGGGGUACUCAACCGGUCACGCUCCACCCCAACAGAGCUGGACCCGCACGGACCAAGGGACCCCCGGACCCCUGGUCUGGGAUCCUCCAGCACAAUCCCAGCUCCGGGAGCCUCAGGCCUCCAUCCCCAUCCUUGGGGAAGGAUCCAACCACCACAUGCCACCACUCCAAACAUCCAAGCGCCUCCAAAGCUCCUUCUCCCACUCGUUCCUCGUGCCCGUGCGAGCGCCAGCGCUGAAACCCGGCGGGUUAUUUUUAUCCCGAGCGAUCCAGGCUGGGAAAAAAAAUCCCCUGCGGGCGCUGCCCUCGGGGCGAUUUGGCGAGCGAAGGGCGCGGGGGCAUUACCGGCUGAAGCGGCACGAUCCUCUUUGGUGGCCCAAAGUUAUCCCAGCAGCAGCGGAAGCCGCCGGCAAAAUGGUGACGGGGUCAAGGCGGCGGCGGCGGCACGAGCAGGGAAAAACGGGAUGGGAGGUCAAGGGCAACGCAAGGACGUGGCGGAUUUUGGGGAGAGAGUGGGUGCCCCCCAUCCCGGUUGGGUGGCCCCCAUCCUGGUUGGGUGGCCCCCGUCUCGGUUGGGUGGCCCCCGUCCCAGUUGGGUGCCCCCCAUCCCGGUUAGGUGGCCCCUGUCCCGGUUGGGUUCCCCCUCUCCUGGGAAAGAGGGGACGUGGGGACGGAGCCGGUCGCCUUCGGGGUCACCCAGCCGGGUCUCGCUGUGCCGUCCUGUGGAUAGAACUGAAGGAGAGGGAGGGGGACUGAGAAAAAAAAAAGUGGGUUAUUUUUUUAAAAAAACCAUAUAA